CUUGCUCAUCUGCAGUCACAGUUUCUUCUCUAAGAUCCACUAAAUCACCCUGGGGUUGCGGUGGGGGCUCUGGCUUUACUUCCUCCUCCACCUUCUCAGGUUCAGGCUCCUUGUAGUCUUCUGGUGCUGGCAGUGCCUUGAUUUCAUUCAUAUCUGGCUCAGGCUCUUCCUCCUUUACAGGUUCAGGCUCAGGCUCCCGAGGUGGGCUCUUGGGCCGCUUUGCUCGGUCCCUCAUAAAUUCCUCCAAUGUCUCCAGCAACUUAUCGGUAACACGCUGCACCUCUGG
rnacentral:lncRNA from 1 species